GGGGUGUGCUCAGAGCAGGGGGCCCAAAGAAUGGCUCCCCUGUUUACAACACACCCAACAGGAAUCUGGGCCCAUGGCAAUGAGGGGCACGACACUUGUGGCCUCCCUAUGAGCAAAUGCCCUACAGGU
rnacentral:snoRNA from 1 species